rnacentral:rRNA from 1 species
GCCAGCCGUAAAAAGGCAGCAUCAAACAUUAACUGCCCGCCCGAUUAGUACGAGCGAAAGCUUAAAACUCAAAGGACCUGACGGUGGCCCACAUCCUCCUAGAGGAGCCUGUUUCAUAAUCGAUAACCCACGUUUAACCUCACCACUUCUAGCCAAUCAGCCUAUCUACCGCCGUCGUCAGCCCACCCUGUGAAGGCACCAAAGUGAGCACAAUAGUUCAUACACUAAAACGACAGGUCAAAGCGUAGCACAUGAAGUGGAGAAAAAUGGGCUACAUUUUCUACAAAGAACACACGGAAGGACGAAAUGAAAACAACGCCUGAAGNGAUUUAGCAGUAAGACCGGAUAGAAUACCCAUCUGAACAAAUGCACUGGGACGCGU